rnacentral:rRNA from 1 species
AGGGAAAGUUGAAAAGAACUUUGAAGAGAGAGUUCAAGAGUACGUGAAACCGUUCAGGGGUAAACCUGAGAAACCCAAAAGAUCGAAUGGGGAGAUUCAUCGUCAGCUCAUUUUGUAUAUGUAUGAGUUAUGAUGCGAGUUACUCUUGUAGUAUUGCUUGCACAUACUUGUAUAUUUAUUUGCAAGAUGUUGUCGGCGUGCACUUCUCCCCUAGUAGAACGUCGCGACCCGUUGGAUGUCGGUCUACGACCCGAGUGGGAGACUUUAAUAUUUUUUAUAAUAUUAAAGACCCUUGGUGUUUUCUGACCGGCUGUCCGGCGGUACUCGUACGGUAUUUAGCCGCAUAUUAUUUGCGUCCAUGCCCGUCGCAAGCGAGGCCAAUUUCUGGUAGUGCGGACCUAGUGCCGUCGCUGGGAUUGGCCAGCUGUUGGUUGUACGGAAUUCUAGGACUGGCUAUAAAAUAUUUACCGGUCGGCGAUGCUACUGCUUUGGGUACUUUCAGGACCCGUCUUGAAACACGGACCAAGGAGUCUAAACAUGUGCGCGAGUCAUUGGGAUUUUUUAAAAAUUAAACCUAAAGGCGUAAUGAAAGUAAAGGUCGUCCUUGCGUCGACUGAGGGAGGAUAAGUUGUGUUAAGAUACAGCUUCGCACUCCCGGGGCGUCUCAUUCUCAUUGCGAGAAGAGGCGCACCUAARGCGUACACGUU